UACGUAGGGGGCAAGCGUUGUCCGGAUUUAUUGGGCGUAAAGAGCGUGUAGGCGGCCAAGCAGGUCCGCUGUGAAAACUCGAGGCUCAACCUCGAGAUGUCGGCGGAAACCAUCUGGCUAGAGUCCGGAAGAGGAGAGUGGAAUUCCUGGUGUAGCGGUGAAAUGCGCAGAUAUCAGGAAGAACACCCGUGGCGAAGGCGGCUCUCUGGGACGGUACUGACGCUGAGACGCGAAAGCGUGGGGAGCGAACAGG
rnacentral:rRNA from 1 species